rnacentral:rRNA from 1 species
CAGCAGCCGCGGUAAUACGGAGGGUGCAAGCGUUAAUCGGAAUUACUGGGCGUAAAGCGCACGCAGGCGGUCUGUCAAGUCAGAUGUGAAAUCCCCGGGCUUAACCUGGGAACUGCAUUUGAAACUGGCAGGCUAGAGUCUUGUAGAGGGGGGUAGAAUUCCAGGUGUAGCGGUGAAAUGCGUAGAGAUCUGGAGGAAUACCGGUGGCGAAGGCGGCCCCCUGGACAAAGACUGACGCUCAGGUGCGAAAGCGUGGGGAGCAAACAGGAUUAGAUACCCGGGUAGUCCCUGUCUCUUAUAA